ensembl:lncRNA
GUGAGUCGCCGAGUAUGAGCAAGAUAUGUGGACAUUUUCACAAUAUAGCCUAAGAGAUAUAACCGAGCAGUGUGUGUGUGUGUGUGUGUGUGUGUGUGUGUGUGUGUGUGACAUAGAUCCAUAUAGGCUGUCUAUACAGGGCAGAUGUGUCCGGGUCAGUGACGUUCUGUAUCAUCAUUUACAUAUUGUACUGUACUGUGUGUAGCCUAAUGUCAGACACAAAAGUGUGUAUUUAUAGGCUAUGGUCUACGUGUGCGUGCGUGCGUGCGUGCGUGCGUGUGAUAUUCCCUGCUGUAGGUUACAAAGAACGCGCUUCAGAAAACAAACCAAACCAAGACAAACAGCCACCGUAAACAGUUCAACCGAAAUGUUGACACAAAUAUAUAUAUUUAUAUUUCAUCUGUUUGAACAGAAACCAAAACCUGUUUUGGAUUAGUUUUACAUCUUGAACUGAUGCGUUGCAUCUUUGCUUCUAUUUCCUGACGAUGUUGCCAUAUUAGUUGUAUUUAUUGAUUUACUUGUUUAUUUAUCAUCUAAACACAAUUAUAGGUUAAGGCUCCAUGUUUAGCUUAACUGUAACCGUAAGCCGAUUAGAGCAUUUAUAUCGAGCAUCUGGAGGAUUUGUGCCAACCCAAGCGUGAUUAAACAAUGGCGCGGGGUGUACGAGCCAAUCAGGCACAAUCUGGCAACCCAGCCUACCUCGCUCGCAUAUCAUCGGUGUGGACUGCGGUCAGUCCGACACUCAAACGAACCACUCCAGGUGUGUUUCCUUUCAUCAUCCGGAUUUCUGCUGCCUUCCUCUGUCUCUGAUUCUCAUUAAUGCCUCAGGUCUCUCCGAGGUACUUAGCGCACCAUACAGGAGAAAUAUAGGCAGUUUCUCAUUAACCCGCACUAGCCUGGCGAAACCGAUGUGACACUGCUUGAACGCGAAUGCUGACGGAGAUGGAGUGAGUGUGCAGUGAUAUGGACUUGUGAAGGCUGGCAGAGGAUCAGAGCUGCUCUGAUUUCUGAGCAAAUCUUUCCUGCAAUAACGGACAGCAAAGGUCAGUUAGCUUUUAUCUCUGAACUGCCAGUAUUAUUGUUUAGCUUUUUAUCUUUAUUAAGGUCAGUGUGAUUGCAUGUGCGUGCGUGCGUGCGUGCGUGCGUGCGUGCGUGUGUGGUGUGUGUCUUACAGUAUUAUAGAAAUGUGUACUGGUAUAUAACAUAAGAGACACAGCUCGAUGAGCAUGUGUAGAUUAAUUCUGGUUCAUUCUUUUUAGAUUAGUCUUAGUCAUAUCCCGCAACAGAUUUCUGAUGAAUUUUCAGGAAGCAGUGCUAGUUCAUAAAUGAUCUCCUGAAUUUAUGAGUGAGAUGAGAAAUGGGUGUGUGCAUUCAUGUGUGUGUUGGCAUUUAAAAUGGGAAUCUGAUUAGGCUGGCCUAUGAUUAAAUAUUUACUGGUGGUUUCUCUACAGCCACAGAGAAGUGUGUGCGUGUAUGUGUGUGUGUGUGUUGCUGUGGGUGUCAGAUGGUGAAAGGAGUGAAAGUCUCUUGUUGGUAUAAAGUAGACGAUGCAAGAGUAGGACAGAAAAAAUGAGCUGCUGUGUUUGUCUAAGUGUGUGUGUGUGUGUGUGUGUGUGUGUUUUAGAGGCCAGUGUUUAUCCACUGCUUCACUCACGUCGCGUGACAUAAAAACAGCACCUGUGAACCAUGCCAUCAGAAUUAUUAUCUUCAGCGAGACUGCAUGUCAGUUGUUUGUGUAAAAGCCUUCGCACGCUUCAUUUCUUUUCACAUCUUUUCCACAAAAAAAAAGAAGGAAGAAUCUCCUUGCGUUUCUGUCCCUUUAAAAAACGAGAGAAAAGUAAGAAAAGUGAGAGUGAAUUCAGGAAGUGUCACACCCUGCUGCCGUUUCAUCACGUAUGAAGUGUCUGGGGUGUGACUAAACUAGAGUUUUGCGGUGGCCAGGGGGUGGCCACUGCUACUUUCGGGGGUCCACACACACACACACACACACACAAUCAAUAUGUUCACAUGGACAACAAUAAGCCGAUAUUAACCCGAUUAAGCCGAUACUCUGAUUAAGAAACUAUCAUGUAAGCAGCGAUUAUUGAUGACCUCAUACUCGAAGUAAACACAAAUGGAAUUAAGACAUGUGGAGUAUUCCUAUUUUAGUCGAAUUGUCGACGUGUAUUACAGACAUGUAAACACCUUAAUCACACUAUUAACGUCAUGUGGGAGUUUUCACCGCAUUUUGUGACAGGACACGUUAACACACACACACACACACACACACACACUGUACUCACAUACUGGAAAAAAUUGGGUCACCCUGUUUGUGUCCUGUGUAAGUGUCAAACAUCCAAAAUAUUUUCAGAAAAUAAAUCUUAAGCACCAGGGAGAUAAGAUACAGUAGCAUGAAUCUGUUACAUGAACUGCUGAGUUUAUUUACACAAAAAAAAAAAAAAAAAACCCCACACACUGCAGUUAGACAUAGCAGGCAUGAAGCAGACAGGGCCGUUUGCACCUGAUCUGCCUGUUUGUGCUUAUUUAAAAAAGAACUCUGAUAUCUCUCCCUUUCUUUUCAUGUUUAAUUGAUCCUGUGCGAAAAUAUGACAGUCUAUGGUUACAUCUGAUCCAAUUCAAUUCAAUUCAAUUCAAUUCA